AUUCCUGUAAUGCAACGGAUAGCGUAUUGGAUUUCUCAUCCAAAGGUCGUGGGCUCGAAUCCCACCUGGGGUA